rnacentral:rRNA from 1 species
UGGGGAAUAUUGCACAAUGGGCGCAAGCCUGAUGCAGCCAUGCCGCGUGUAUGAAGAAGGCCUUCGGGUUGUAAAGCACUUUCAGCGGGGAGGAAGGCGUUAAGGUUAAUAACCUUGGCGAUUGACGUUACCCGCAGAAGAAGCACCGGCUAACUCCGUGCCAGCAGCCGCGGUAAUACGGAGGGUGCAAGCGUUAAUCGGAAUUACUGGGCGUAAAGCGCACGCAGGCGGUCUGUCAAGUCGGAUGUGAAAUCCCCGGGCUCAACCUGGGAACUGCAUUCGAAACUGGCAGGCUAGAGUCUUGUAGAGGGGGGUAGAAUUCCAGGUGUAGCGGUGAAAUGCGUAGUGAUCUGGAGGAAUACCGGUGGCGAAGGCGGCCCCCUGGACAAAGACUGACGCUCAGGUGCGAAAGCGUGGGGAGCAAACAGG